rnacentral:rRNA from 1 species
UACGGGGGGGGCAAGCGUUGUUCGGAAUUACUGGGCGUAAAGGGCUCGUAGGCGGCCAAUUAAGUCCGACGUGAAAUCCCCAGCUUAACCUGGGAACUGCGUCGGAUACUGGAUGGCUUGAAUUCGGGAGAGGGAUGCAGAAUUCCAGGUGUAGCGGUGAAAUGCGUAGAUAUCUGGAGGAACACCGGUGGCGAAGGCGGGUCUCUGGGCAGUAACUGACGCUGAGGAGCGAAAGCGUGGGGAGCGAACAGG